rnacentral:rRNA from 1 species
GUAGUCCACGCCCUAAACGAUGUCAACUAGCUGUUGGGGUUUUCGGACCUUAGUAGCGAAGCUAACGCGUGAAGUUGACCGCCUGGGGAGUACGGUCGCAAGAUUAAAACUCAAAGGAAUUGACGGGGACCCGCACAAGCGGUGGAUGAUGUGGAUUAAUUCGAUGCAACGCGAAAAACCUUACCUACCCUUGACAUGUCUAGAAGGCUUAAGAAAUUAGGUUGUGCUCGCAAGAGAACUAGAACACAGGUGCUGCAUGGCUGUCGUCAGCUCGUGUCGUGAGAUGUUGGGUUAAGUCCCGCAACGAGCGCAACCCUUGUCAUUAGUUGCUACGAAAGGGCACUCUAAUGAGACUGCCGGUGACAAACCGGA